AUUGUUUUCAGUUAUAAUUAUGGUUAUUAAGCUACACUGUUUUAUGCAACAGAAGUAACCAAAUUUAUUUUUCAAUUGUGUCUUUAACCAUGACUAUUUUGUUUCCACGGUUAAUUGAUUAAUUCUGAUGUAUUUUCUUUUUUCUUUCUUCCUUUUUUUUUUUUUAAGAGAUGAGGUCACACUGUGUUACCCAGGCUGAUCUUGAACUCCUGGGUUCAAGAGAACCACCCACCUCAGCCUCCCAAAGUGCUGGGAUUACAGUAAGCCACCAUGCCCAGCCCUGAUGCAUUUUCUGAAAACUCUUCAGAAACAAGUAAAUUGCUAAAGUAUUGUGUCUCCUAAGAGGUUCAUGGAAAGGAUAGAAAGGACCCUGACAUCAUUUGUACUAGAAACCCUGAGACAAAGUCAGAAAGAUCUGGAAAGACCUGCCAGAGGAAAUCUGCCACCCCUCUGGACAAGGAGCCUUCAUCUACAUAAAAGUGGGCUGUCACCAUGCAGCGAGGCUGCCUAAC
rnacentral:lncRNA from 13 species